UCUGUCUAAAGAUACAGAAAUCUGCUUGCCAGCACCUCUAAAGCUCACUAAUCAAUACAUUAUCUUGUUUGUUUAAUCUGUACAAAAACUGGACUUUUUACUGGCCAUGCGCAGUGACUUUCAGUACUCGUGAUAAAACUGAUGUAGAAAAUGACUAUUUAUAACCUCUAUCUUACAGAAAAACCUUGGAUAUAAUGCUAUGUGUGAUAGUACCGUUGGAUGGUGACCAGACAACAAGGGGAAACAUUAGUUUUCUCUCAAUAACAUUCAGGAGAGAGAGGGGUGGUCUCCAUGCUGGUGGUGGAUCUUCGGAGCAGUCCGAGUCUACAGUGGCUGGGAGUGGAAAAGGGAAGAGUCGACUGAAACCAGAGAGUGAAGAGUGAAGGGUGCAGGGUUCAAACCAACAUGAGGCAACUCAAAGAGGAAGAGGAAGUGGGGAAGUACAUGCUUGUUUUUAUUAGUCUCAUCAAGAAACAGGGGAAGUGAUGCAAUAACCACUAUACGUAAACAGUGAUCUGACAGUUUUCAUAACAGUGGCGUCAGUAACAUCACAAUACAGGAGGCACCAUAAUCAUGAAUGAUGGACAGUGAAGGGGAUCUCGUAACAACAGUGGAUCACAUGACUAACAGUGACAGUGGGCAAACGUGUGUUCACUACAGACAGGGAGACAAUGGAAGUGAUGUCACGGUAACAACAUUCAAAUGACUGUGAAUAAUAAUAAAACAAGACUAAAUGUAAAAUCUAAUGAAAUGACACAGUGCAUGUUUCAACCCAUUUCUAACAAAUUUAGCAUACUUGUAUUUCUACUCUCAAACCUAAGGAGCAUUAUCACCAGACUUUGGGGUCUCCUGCUCAUGCCUAGCAAAUCCACUAUGUACUAUUUCAUAAACUAUUUCAUUAACAUCAGCAGCUCUGUCCAACUCAUUGUUGGAUUUGGGGAAGAGAGAGUGUAAAUAUCCCAGCUGGCACCGGACGUCAAUUCAACAUCAGGAAGACGAUGUUAAAUUUUGGUUGGAAUCAAAAUCAUGUUGAGCAUAAUUUAAAUAUCUGUCAACGUUACAAUUUCCUGUUGUGUAAACAUUAACAUUAGAAUGUUUAGCAGAUGUUGGGUUUUGUUCUCCAUACCUUACAACUAAAUGACGUUAUUGUACGUCAAGAUAACGUCGGCACGAGACGACUGGAAGAUGCUGGAUUUUGUUAAUUUUUAUAACAUAAAACCAACAAAAUAUCACAUCAUCUGUCGUCAGUACUCUACAUCAAAUUAACGUUGGAAUCACACGUUGUCCUGACAUUGAAUUUUGGCGUCACAUCCUAAAUCCAACCAAAUAUCAGCAUCUUACAGCGUUGGUGGCCACUAGCCAGCUGGGUACAUCCUGGAGCUAAUGCUAGCUCAGUUAGCUAACUAGCUACAGCUAAUAAAAUGUAGAAAUGAGGAUCCUGCUUUUGUCCACCUGUGUCUGACAUAUAGGAUCCACUAUUUAAAAGUGACUCACAAUUUCGCCAGUAAAUCUGCCACCAUUACUGAAAACAGAAAGCUUGAAAUCCUAAAACUGUGAUGUUCUAGAUUCCCACUAGCACUUGAAUGCACCAACAAGAAGACUUCCUCUAUUCAACGACUUUGCAAAAACUUUAAAUCAUGACUCUCUGUAUCUUAAGCAUGUUUCAUGUCCCUGCAAAAUGCUUUCUAUAUUAUAUUAACCUGA